AGCUAAGCUACCACCGAGCUAGCGGCUGUGUAUCCAGGACUCCAGCAGGGUUGGGCUCACAUUCAGCUGUCACGCCACUGGAAGCCAUCAGUCCCUACAGCUGGCGAGAGGAAAUCAGACAGCGCACUAUCAAGAAUGGACAUGGACAUGGACAUCAACAGACAUCAAGUGCUGGCAGGACAAAUCUCGAAGAGCCAUACGAAAGCAAAGCUGUAGGAAGAUUUUGACUAUGUCCUCGCUACAAUCUGGUGAGGGGCAGCGCAUCUCCUGCAGGUUCGACACACACUGUAAUGUAUACAAUACCACACCACCAUGCCUAAGUUGUCAGCCACAGGGUUCUGUACUUGUACUAUGUGUCAUUAUUUUUCAGCGGUACUUUUUUCACUCACACCGUCGCCACUACUGUCGCAUGUGCACUGAAAGCUGAAAUGUGUUAAUCUAACAAUUAUAGGCUUUUACUUUAAAAGUGGAAUUGUCAAAUCAGACCUGUUACAGUACACUGGUUACACAUGUACGUAUGGUACAUGUGUUUUGGAGGCUGACUUUGCUUUUUAGUUUUUUCCCUCUACAGGUUUUGCUGUGGAGUAUCUGUUCAGGGCCAAGUUGAGUGUGACCACAAGACUGAUGGGUCUUGUGAUGUGUGCUACGUUUGUUUCUGUGAUGAACAAACAUCUAACACUC